rnacentral:rRNA from 1 species
CCUACGGGUGGCAGCAGUAGGGAAUCUUCCACAAUGGACGAAAGUCUGAUGGAGCAACGCCGCGUGAGUGAAGAAGGGUCUCGGCUCGUAAAGCUCUGUUGGUAGUGAAGAAAGAUAGAGGUAGUAACUUGUCUUUAUUUGACGGUAAUAAUUUAGAAAGUCACGGCUAAUUACGUCCCAGCAGCCGCGGUAAUACGUAGGUGGCAAGCGUUGUCCGGAUUGAUUGGGCGUAAAGCGAGUGCAGGCGGUUCAAUAAGUCUGAUGUGAAAGCCUUCGGCUCAACCGGAGAAUUGCAUCAGAAACUGGUGAGCUUGAGUGCAGAAGAGGAGAGUGGAACGCCAUGUGUAGCGGUGGAAUGCGUAGAUAUAAGGAAGAACCCCAGUGGCGAAGGCGGCUCUCUGGGCUGCAACUGACGCUGAGGCUCGAAAGCAUGGGUAGCGAACAGGAUUAGAUACCCCUGUAGUC